CUGAGGAAUAUUGGUCAAUGGGCGGGAGCCUGAACCAGCCAAGUCGCGUGAGGGAAGACGGUCCUAUGGAUUGUAAACCUCUUUUGUCGGGGAGCAAAGAGGCCACGUGUGGUCAAAAGCGAGAGUACCCGAAGAAAAAGCAUCGGCUAACUCCGUGCC
rnacentral:rRNA from 1 species